AGGAGUGGGCAGGGUAGGUGGAGCGCAAGUGAGCUGAACUUCUUGCGCUCUUCUUGUGAACCUUUUAUAAAUGCUACUUUAUUAAGAAACUGUUUAAUUAAAACGUGACCAGUAGCAAUUUGUUUUACACGUUUUAAAUGGGCGAACCACUUGCUUUUUAUUGGUGCUGUUGUAUGGAAAACUUGAGUGGGUUCCCGCACGUCGCAGACUUUCUGAAGGCAGGUAAGCCACUGACUAACGCACACUGCGCCUGUUCUCCGCUCCACUGUGCGUGUGACAGCGGCUAACCAGCUUUUGGAUGCCUCUCGGACUUCAGCUUCACUUCAGCACUGAAAGAAAAGCCACUGGAGAUUUGUUUAAUGGGUCUCACCGGAAACUGCUUCUCCUUUUCUGUGGGUAUUUUACUGUGUAACGCGCGUACGUGCUCCAGGUCACAUGUACAUCUAUACACCAUUUAUAUACCAUCUGUACUCCAUCUAUACAUAAUCUGUACUCCAUUUAUACUCCAUUAUAUACUAUCUAUACUCCAUCUGUACUCCACUGAACACUCACCGUCUCCAUUAGAAUCCACCAUCUAUACUUCACUGAACUCCGUCUCCAUUAGAAUACUCCAUCUAUACUCCACUGUACACCGUCUCCGUUAGAAUACUCCAUUUGUACUCCACUGUACACCGUCUAUUUGUACUUUACUGUACUCCAUCUAUUCUCCACUGAACACUCUCAAUCUCCAUUAGAAUACACCAUCUAUACUUCACUGAACUCCGUCUCCAUUAGAAUACUCCAUCUAUACUCUACUGAACACCGUCUCCAUUAGAAUACUCCAUCUAUACUCUACUGAACACCGUCUCCAUUAGAAUACUCCAUCUAUACUCCACUGAACACCGUCUCCAUUAGAAUACUCCAUCUAUACUCCACUGAACACCUUCUCCAUUGGAAUACUCCAUCUAUACUCCACUGAACACCUUCUCCAUUGGAAUACUCCAUCUAUACUCCACUGAACACCAUCUCCAUUGGAAUACUCCAUCUAUACUCCACUGAACACCAUCUCCAUUAGAAUACUCCAUCUACACUCCACUGAACACCAUCUCCAUUAGAAUACUCCAUCUAUACUCCACUGAACACUCACCAUCUCCAUUAGAAUACUCCAUCUAUACUCUAUCUAUACUUCACUGAACACUCACCAUCUCCAUUAGAAUACUCCAUCUAUACUCCACUGAACACUCACCAUCUCCGUUAGAAUACUCCAUCUAUACUCUACUGUACACCGUCUAGAUUAGAAUACACCAUUUAACUCCACUGAACACCGUCUCCAUUAGAAUACUCCAUCUAUACUCCACUGAACUAACACCAUCUCAGUUAUAGUAGUCGUGUACAUAUCAAUUGAAUAGGACUUACUACUCUAAAUGAAUUGCUUCUGCUUUAUUGCAGCUGUUAAAUUAAAUCUGCAUAUAAGCAAGUAGUUUAUUCUGAUGCCAUAUCUUGCUGCAUUAGAAUGACGUAUAUGUAAUCAUACGUGGCUGCAGUAAUAUGGCCGAAAUGCAUGGAUGGGUGGAUGGAUGAAUGCAACCAUGUAUUGGUGGACCUGGGAUUUGAACUCAUGACCUUCUGAUCUGUAGUCCAAAGCCUUAACCACUAGGCUACCACAUACCCCCAUACUUUACUACAGUAGUAAAGCCUAUGUUUGACCGUACUUUGUUAUUUUAUUUUAGCCGACAUAUUUUAGCCGACAUUAUUUCUAUUAUAUCGUGCAUGUAACCAUAGUUUACUGUUGUAUAACGUACACCAAUCUAUUCCAAACCUUACAUAAGUAGUAUAAACUAUAUUAUUAAACUAUAUUAUUAUUAUUAUUAAACUAUAUUAUUACUGUAAUAUAGACUACAUGUGACUAUACACUAUUACAGAAUAUGUUUAUAUAUGGCUAUACAUUAUAGUAUAGUAUACAAUGUUGUCCAUUAUACUCCAGUGGUGACUGGUGUGGAUGCAGGUUUUCAUUCCAAUUCAAUCCAAUCCAAAAGUCACACCUAAGUGUACUGAAAGCCAAGAUCAUCUGACUAAAUAAGUUUAAUCAGAUGUAGCACCAGCUUUGGCCAUUUAUGGUUCAUCCUGGGAAGGUGUCCGGGUUAGCACAUACAUUAUUACAGUAAUGUAAACGAUGGGAUCCUAAAUGAUUGCAGUAGAAAAGCCUAGAUUUGGCCACAACCUACUAAAGUAGAUUUAUGUGACUCUACGUUAUUACAGUAGCAUAUUUGUCUAUAUGUGACUAUAGUUUGUACAGUAGCUAUAGUGAGUAAUAAGAAAGGUAUGUAAGGAGUGUAAGUAUGGGUGAGUCAGGGUUUAAGAAGUUAUGUCUUACAAUAGUUUGGCUUAAGUGUGGCCCUAAGCUAGUUAAUUAACUAUUUGUAGUAUGGUAGUGUAUAUACUACCCAUGGCCAUAACUGAUAUAUGUCUAUAACUGAACUAUAAUAUAACUUUCAUGUAGUUGUUAAAUAUUUUAUAUCUAAAGAUGUAUAGCUCAUGUAUUAUAGCAGUCAUCCAAACAGUCCAGAAGUAUAGCCAACAUGAAGGAACUUACUUGGGACUUAAAGUAAAUAAUUCUUUCUGUUUUAAUGUAACAAGACUCAUUUUGAUUUGGGUAAAUGAUACUAAGUUGGCAAGAUAAAAUCUGCUGUUCAACUGUAUAAUAAACAUGAAUUGUGUAUUAA